AUUGAACGCUGGCGGCAGGCCUAACACAUGCAAGUCGAGCGAGCGGCGGACGGGUGAGUAAUGUAUGGGGACUGCCCGCUAGAGGGGGAUAACUACUAGAAACGGUGGCUAAUACCGCAUACUAUCGGAUAACCCAUAUGGGAUUAGCUAGUAGGUGGGGUAAAGGCUCAAAUAGGCGACGAUCUCUAGCUGGUCUGAGAGGAGGAUCAGCCAACCGGGGCAUGAGACACGGCCCAGACUCCUACGGAGGCAGCAGUGGGGAAUAUUGGACAAUGGGCGAAAGCCUGAUGCAGCCCUGCCGCUUGGAGGAAGAAGGCCUCAGGGUGGUAAAGUACUUUCAGCGGGGAGGCGUUACCGACAGAAGAAGCACCGGCUAACUCCGUGCCAGCAGCCGCGGUAAUAC
rnacentral:rRNA from 1 species